rnacentral:rRNA from 1 species
GACGAACGCUGGCGGCGUGCUUAAUACAUGCAAGUGGAGCGACGAACCAGGGCUUGCCCUGGGGCAGAGCCGCGAACGGGUGAGUAACACGUGGGUAACCUGCCUCGAUGACCGGGACAACCCGAGGAAACUCGGGCUAAUACCGGAUGUGCUCUCCUCACAUCAGUGGGAAGAGGAAAGGAAGCUUCGGCCUCCGCAUCGGGAUGGGCCCGCGGCCCAUUAGCUAGUUGGUGGGGCAAUGGCCUACCAAGGCUUCGAUGGGUAGCUGUUCUGAGAGGAAGAUCAGCCACACUGGGACUGAGACACGGCCCAGACU